AGUCCGGGGGCUCUAGGUGCCUCCGGUUUCCGUCGUCGGUGCGGCCGGUUACCGCGCGCCGCAAGGCGCGUCCCUCGGGACGCUGCGCUGCAACGGCCUGUGGGCUCCCCACCCGACCCGUCUUGAAACACGGACCAAGGAGUCUGACAUGCGUGCGAGUCGACGGGUUCUGAAACCUGGGAUGCGCAAGGAAGCUGACGAGCGG
rnacentral:rRNA from 1 species